GAUAAAUUCUUAUCUAGGCAAUAUUUGUCCUUUCCCACUAGUGACUAGAAACGUAAAGGAAGUGUUAAACAUGUUCACAACACGUACCAGAUUAGAGUAACAGUGGGGCCAUCCAAUAUGGCCGCCAUUGGCUUCACUUAUGCACAGCAGAUGCUUUAUCCAGUCUUAUUUCAGAUCAGUGGUUCGAAUAUACUUAACUUUGAACGUUUAGCUUCACGAUCCUGUUGGUGUGGAGUAUUAGAGAGUUUAUGCUUCGCGUUAUACGUCAAACGGCAAACGCCAGGCAAAGAAAAUUUUUACGAUAUCAGAUAAAUAAAGAGCAAAUUAGCUUGCUGUUUUAAAACUGAAAUACAUAAUUAUUCUUUCGACACAAGAUAGAAAAUAUGAAACGAAAACGUUCAACAAAAAUUUUGGCAAGAAAAUUCAAACCUGCCGUUUGAAUUGCCGUUCCCGGAAACGUGAAGCUUAUUUAGCUAUUUAAGUAACUCUUUAUUCUUAUUCAUUUACGUGGGAGAGGCGAUGCACUGCAUGAUUGUGUUUAAGUGUUUUCCACAGUAUAAACUGAAUUUAUCAUGCGGUACCUCGAUCUACUUUCCAUUAUUCUUGAUUGGUUAGUGGAGCAGUGGAGAGGAUGGUGCGUUGUAAAUAUAUGUUGUGAAUUUCUCUGUGAACUUUUACUGUAUACUGUAGUUCAUGUAAAGUAAUUUAACAUCAUUUUGUAAAAAUGUUGGGGGUUUUUUUUUCAUAAUUUAAUCCAAAUUUUCACCGUAUUUUGCUGAAAAUAUGGCAAUUUCUAUUCGAAAUUUAUAUAAAAAAUUCGAUCAGAACGCAGGAAAUCGCAUUUCCGAGGUUCUAGAUUUCCAAAUUUUGCAAAGACAUGAGGAAUUAUGCAUCUCUCAGCUAAAACCAUGGAUCCGGCCCUGUUGUAAAGGCCUAAGAACAUAUUUAUUAUCCAAAUAUGUAGUAGAUAAACCAUAAUAAGUAGACAAUAACUGUAAAUAUAAAUAUAAUUAUUUUAACUUAUACUUUUUAGAUAACAUAGAGAUAAACUUUACUUUGUAAUCUAUAGCAGUUGAAGACAUGGGCUAACCGGGGGGGAAGCCCCCCAGUUUGUUGGGCAAACAGUCGGGCAAUAUUGGCUUAUUAUAAAAAUAAAUGGGACAAAUUCUGUGUAUUUUGUGGGAAAUUCUGUCAAUUUUGUAGAAAAUAUGCUAUGUAAUAGGAAUUUUUCGUAAUCAAUCCCCCCCCCCCGUCGACAACAAUUUUGGAAAGUUUCUCCGAAAAUUUUCUUUUGACAACUCGGACACAAUCCAAAAAAAUAGGGCAAAUCUCUUUCCGCCCCCAUAAUUUUUCAAUUCCCGUACGCCCAUGGUUGAAGAGCCACUCUGUGGAUACACCGUUAUUAAAUCAUUAUUAUAUGGAAUUCUUCAGGGGUAAAGUGUUUUGAGUUUGGAAUUCUUCAGGGGUAAAGGAUUUUGAGCUUGGAAUUCUUCAGGGGUAAAGUGUUUUGAGUUUGGAAUUCUUCAGGGUAACGUAUUUUGAGUUUGGAAUUCCUCAGGGGUAAAGUGUUUUGAGUUUGGAAUUCUUCAGGGGUAACGUGUUUUGAGUUUGGAAUUCUUCAGGGGUAAAGUGUUUUGAGUUUGGAAUUCCUCAGGGAUAAAGGAUUUUGAGCUUGGAAUUCUUCAGGGGUAAAGUGUUUUGAGUUUGGAAUUCUUCAGGGGUAAUGUGUUUUGAGUUUGGAAUUCUUCAGGGGUAAAGUGUUUUGAGUUUGGAAUUUCUCAGGGGUAAAGGAUUUUGAGCUUGGAAUUCUUCAGGGGUAAAGGAUUUUGAGCUUGGAAUUCUUCAGGGGUAAAGGAUUUUGAGCUUGGAAUUCUUCAGGGGUAAAGUGUUUUGAGUUUGGAAUUCUUCAGGGGUAAAGUGUUUUGAGUUUGGAAUUCUUCAGGGGUAAAGUGUUUUGAGUUUGGAAUUCCUCAGGGGUAAAGGAUUUUGAGCUUGGAAUUCUUCAGGGGUAAAGUGUUUUGAGUUUGGAAUUCCUCAGGGGUAAAGUGUUUUGAGUUUGGAAUUCUUCAGGGGUAACGUGUUUUGAGUUUGAAAUUCCUCAGGGGUAAAGUGUUUUGAGUUUGGAAUUCUUCAGGGGUAACGUGUUUUGAGUUUGGAAUUCUUCAGGGGUAAAGUGUUUUGAGUUUGGAAUUCCUCAGGGGUAAAGUGUUUUGAGUUUGGAAUUCUUCAGGGGUAAAGUGUUUUGAGUUUGGAAUUCUUCAGGGGUAACGUGUUUUGAGUUUGGAAUUCUCCAGGGGUAAAGUGUUUUGAGUUUGGAAUUCCUCAGGGGUAAAGGAUUUUGAGCUUGGAAUUCUUCAGGGGUAAAGUGUUUUGAGUUUGGAAUUCUUCAGGGGUAAAGUGUUUUGAGUUUGGAAUUCUUCAGGGGUAAAGGAUUUUGAGCUUGGAAUUCUUCAGGGGUAAAGGAUUUUGAGCUUGGAAUUCUUCAGGGGUAAAGUGUUUUGAGUUUGGAAUUCUUCAGGAGUAAAGUGUUUUGAGUUUGGAAUUCUUCAGGGGUAAAGUGUUUUGAGUUUGGAAUUCUUCAGGGGUAAAGGAUUCGAGCUUGGAAUUCUUCAGGGGUAAAGAGGUUUGAGAUUGAAAUUUUUCAGAGUUUGGAAUUCUUCAGGGGUAAAGUGUUUUGAGUUUGGAAUUCUUCAGGGGUAAAGGAUUUUGAGCUUGGAAUUCUUCAGGGGUAAAGAGGUUUGAGAUCGAAAUUUUUCAGAGGUUGGAAUUCUUCAGGGGUAAAGUGUUUUGAGCUUGGAAUUCUUCAGGGGUAAAGUGUUUUGAGUUUGGAAUUCUUCAGGGGUAAAGGAUUCGAGCUUGGAAUUCUUCAGGGGUAAAGAGGUUUGAGAUCGAAAUUUUUCAGAGUUUGGUAUUCUUCAGGGGUAAAGUGUUUUGAGUUUGGAAUUCUUCAGGGGUAGAGUGUUUUGAGCUUGGAAUUCUUCAGGCGUAAAGGAUUUUGAGCUUG